rnacentral:lncRNA from 1 species
UUUCAAUCUUGUUCCCUUCGCGGUUCGACGUGUGUCAAUCUGUGGAAAUAUAAAGAGAAGCUUUUACAAGAACAAAAAAAAAUUAUUUGCUCGUGCUUCACCUAACAGAGAGAUAAGGACACGAGAACUAUGAAAGUUUUAAAAGUAUAACUUACACGUGAAACUCUCCAUAAGGCUGUCCAGUGAUCUGUAACAAGAUGGCUGCCAAACCUGACAUCUGAACCUCAUUACCAUACUGCAUCUUGACUCUAACCAAUAUAUAAUGGAAUACUUCAGUAUUAAUCUGGUAAUGAUGGAUUUACUGCACUAAAACAAGAAGCAAAAACACUUGAUAACAAUAUAGACUCAUCUUGUUGAGCAUUGACCCAAGUAUCAAGCUGGGGGUGACCCUGUGACCUUCAUAAAAAUAUGGACUCGCCUUAAUUCUGUAUAAGUAUUGAUCUGAAUAUCAACUUGUUGACUCUGCAAACUUCAUAACCUUGUUGCUGUAUGAUUGUUGACCUGAAUAUCAACCUGAUGACCCUGUGACCUUCAUAACAAUAUGGACUCACCUUGUUGCCAUAGAAGUGUUGUUCAUAUCCCAAGCAGCAGUUUAUUACUAAUCAUCAGCUUGAUGACAAGUAUUGGUAUGUGUCAUCAUUAGAUUGUGAUGAUACUACAUUGCAUCAAGCUAUUGCCAGCAGAUGUAUGACAGACAAGUUAUCAGCAUCUUCAGCCAAACAUCAUGUUGUCAUAGUGAUGUUUUUGUCAAGGCCUGGACAGCCUGCACACACAACAAACAACUUGCCAGCCUCUCAGCCAAGGAUCAUGUUGUCAUGGUGAUGAUGCUGUCAAGUUCAAAAUUUUUGAUUUUUUCAUUACAACACAUUUAUUUACCGCUCUGUCACUAUGCCAAUCACAUACCCACAGCUGCAUUAUCAUAAAUUGAUGUUGUGGUUUGUUCAAAAUAGCCAAUAGCCAAAACUGAAUCAAAACUGAAAAAGUACUCACUCCCAACAGUGAACAACCGUCACAGGUACAAGGAUUAACCCUUGAAUGUGUUUAAUGGCUGACAUCAAUGUUGGACAGCCUUUUUUAUCAUCAAAGCCAAUUUCCAAUUAAAAAAGGACUGCAUAUUAUCAAUGAAUGGCCUUGACAUUAUCCAACACUGAUGACAACCAAAAAUAUUACAGAACAUGGAAGUCAACCCUUCCAGGAAUAAAUACAAAGACAUGCAUGAAAGAAGUUGGAUGAAACAUUGGCUGUCAUGGUGUCUAUAGUAUGUGGUACACCCAUUUUCAGUAUAAUUUUUCUGCUCUAAAUAAAUCAGUGCUUGCUCAUGUGACAGAUUUUGAUCAUGGUGUUUUCAAGUAAUUACUGGGCUGAAGAUUCUUGCUAAGUUUUACCUUCAAAUACUGAAUAUCUUUCAAGUAACAAGAACAUACUUAAUCCUAAUCACUAGCCAACAGACCCAGGGCUUAACAUACAUGAGAUCAACAUCUUUAAAUGUAUUUAGGUGAGAACAUAAAGUAAAAGAGAAGCAAAAUAUUAUGCAGAAUUCUACAAGCUUAACAUGUUGAUGCAUGCUUUGUUUAAAGAUUACCAACCCAUCUGUGGUUGGUAUUCAACUCUGAU